CCUACGGGAGGCAGCAGUGAGGAAUAUUGGUCAAUGGGCGCGAGCCUGAACCAGCCAAGUCGCGUGAAGGAUGACUGCCCUACGGGUUGUAAACUUCUUUUGUCAAGGAAUAAAGUGAGGCACGUGUGCCUUUUUGUAUGUACUUUAUGAAUAAGGAUCGGCUAACUCCGUGCCAGCAGCCGCGGUAAUACGGAGGAUCCGAGCGUUAUCCGGAUUUAUUGGGUUUAAAGGGAGCGUAGAUGGGUUGUUAAGUCAGUGGUGAAAGUGUGCGGCUCAACCGUAAAAUUGCAAUUGAUAUUGGUAGUCUGGAGGAGAGGUGAGGUAGGCGGAAGUGGUGGUGUAGCGGGGAAAGGAUUAGAUA
rnacentral:rRNA from 1 species